rnacentral:rRNA from 1 species
ACGCUGGCGGCAUGCUUAACACAUACAAGUCGAACGGUAACGAAAGGCACGAUCCUUCGGGUGAGCGCCUUGGCGACGAGUGGCGGACGGGUGAGUAACGCAUAGGAAUCUGCCCAGUAGCGGGGGAUAACUUGGGGAAACUCGAGCUAAUACCGCAUACGCCCUACGGGGAAAAGCAGGGGAUCUUCGGACCUUGCACUAUUGGAUGAGCCUAUGUCAGAUUAGCUAGUAGGUGGGGUAACGGCCUACCUAGGCAACGAUCUGUAGCUGGUCUGAGAGGACGAUCAGCCACACUGGGACUGAGACACGGCCCAGACUCCUACGGGAGGCAGCAGUGGGGAAUAUUGGACAAUGGGGGCAACCCUGAUCCAGCAAUGUCGCGUGUGUGAAGAAGGCCUGCGGGUUGUAAAGCACUUUCAAUCGUGAAGAAAAGCUUAUGGUUAAUACCCGUAAGUCUUGACGUUAUCGAUACAAGAAGCACCGGCUAACUCCGUGCCAGCAGCCGCGGUAAUACGGAGGGUGCGAGCGUUAAUCGGAAUUACUGGGCGUAAAGAGCACGUAGGCGGUUUGGUCAGUCGGAUGUGAAAGCCCCGGGCUUAACCUGG